ACGAACGCUGGCGGCGUGCUUAACACAUGCAAGUCGAACGGUAAGGCCCCAGCUUGCUGGGGUACACGAGUGGCGAACGGGUGAGUAACACGUGGGUGACCUGCCCCGCACUUCGGGAUAAGCCUGGGAAACUGGGUCUAAUACCGGAUAGGACCGCACCGUGAGGGUGUGGUGGAAAGUUUUUCGGUGUGGGAUGGGCCCGCGGCCUAUCAGCUUGUUGGUGGGGUAAUGGCCUACCAAGGCGGCGACGGGUAGCCGGCCUGAGAGGGUGGACGGGCACAUUGGGACUGAGACACGGCCCAGACUCCUACGGGAGGCAGCAGUGGGGAAUAUUGCACAAUGGGCGGAAGCCUGAUGCAGCGACGCCGCGUGGGGGAUGACGGCCUUCGGGUUGUAAACUCCUUUCACCAUCGACGAAGGUUUUCUGACGGUAGAUGGAGAAGAAGCACCGGCUAACUACGUG
rnacentral:rRNA from 1 species